AGGCGACGAUCAGUAGCCGGCCUGAGAGGGCGACCGGCCACAUUGGGACUGAGACACGGCCCAAACUCCUACGGGAGGCAGCAGUGGGGAAUAUUGCACAAUGGGGGAAACCCUGAUGCAGCGACGCCGCGUGAGUGAAGAAGUAUUUCGGUAUGUAAAGCUCUAUCAGCAGGGAAGAAGAAAGACGGUACCUGACUAAGAAGCCCCGGCUAACUACGUGCCAGCAGCCGCGGUAAUACGUAGGGGGCAAGCGUUAUCCGGAUUUACUGGGUGUAAAGGGAGCGUAGACGGCUGUGCAAGUCUGAAGUGAAAGCCCAGGGCUCAACCCUGGGACUGCUUUGGAAACUGUGGAGCUAGAGUGCUGGAGAGGUAAGUGGAAUUCCUAGUGUAGCGGUGAAAUGCGUAGAUAUUAGGAGGAACACCAGUGGCGAAGGCGGCUUACUGGACAGUAACUGACGUUGAGGCUCGAAAGCGUGGGGAGCAAACAGGAUUAGAUACCCUGGUAGUCCACGCGGUAAACGAUGAAUACUAGGUGUUGGAGAGCAAAGCUUUUCG
rnacentral:rRNA from 1 species